rnacentral:rRNA from 1 species
AUGUGGUGUAGAACGAAAAAGCCCUUGCAGCAAGAACUUUUGGAAAUAGAAUCAAGUAUCAAUCAGAUUCAGCAGCUACCUCUACAGCAGCAAAACCAUACUUUGGAAAGUUCUCUCACUCUUAGAUAUGAACAAACUCUCUCUAAGCUUAAUCAGUUUUACAAGCAGAGAAGUAAAAAGGGUUGGGCCACUGUUGGCGACCAUAAUACCAAGUUUUUCCAUCAGGCUGUGAUCAAAAGAAGGAAAAGGAAUAAUGUUUGUUCCAGUAAGGAUGAAAAUGAUGUGCUUCAUCUCAAACCUAGUGCUGUCACUAAUACCUUUGUCAACUAUUUUAGAUACAUUUUCUCUUCGCCUAACAAUAACACUGCAAGGCCUUUACUCGCUACUCAUUUUCCCAACAACUCUUUGGAUCCCACUUAUUCUAUUCCAGAUAAGCAUGAAGGCUUGCAGAUUCUCAAAGAGAUGAAGUUAAAUGCUUCUCCGGGUCCAGAUGGAUUUAAUGUUGAAUUUUAUUUGGCGGCUUGGGAUUGGAUAGGGGAGGAAAUCACUCAACUUGUGAUUAAAUUUUAUGAAACAGGUGUUUUGCCUCCUGACAUUAAUGACACCAAUAUUGCUCUCAUCCCGAAAAAGUUAGUUCCUCAAGUUCCCAUGGAUUAUCGUCCCAUUAGCCUUUGUAAUGUUGUUUAUAAAAUAAUUGCCAAAUAUUUAGCUAAUAAGAUUAAUCCUCUUCUUCUAGAUAUAGUCAUCCUGCUCAGCAAGCUUUUAUUAAGGGUAGAAGAAUUAGUGAUGAUAUUAUUAUUGCUCGAGAGUUUACUCACUCUUUCUCUCUUAAAUCAUGGAAACACCAUGCUUUUAUGCUUAAAAUAG